UUAAUCCUUCAGGGCAGGGUGAAAUUCCCGACCGGCGGUAAAGUCCGCGAGCCACUUUAGUGGUUGAUUUGGUGAGAUUCCAAGACCGACAGUAAAGUCUGGAUGGGAGAAUAGGAUUAA
rfam:Clostridium novyi NT, complete genome.